GAACCUCGCCUCGNAAGACGGGGAUAACUCCCGGGAAACCGGAGCUAAUACCGGAUGAUAACGAGAAGCGCCUGCUUUUUUUUUGAAAGUACGGUUUCCGGCUGGACGCUUACAGAUGGGCCCGCGGCGCUUAGCUAGUUGGNGAGGUAACGGCUCACCAAGGCGACGAUGCGUAGCCGACCUGAGAGGGUGAUCCGGCCACACUGGGACUGAGACACGGCCCAGACUCCUACGGGAGGCAGCAGUAGGGAAUCUUCGGCAAUGGGACGAAAGUCUGACCGAGCAACGCCGCGUGAGCGAAGAA
rnacentral:rRNA from 1 species